rnacentral:lncRNA from 1 species
CCUUAGCUGAUUUCAAGAGCCCACAUUUAAAAGAAAUUACUUGGGAAGUCUUGCCUUUGUAACUUCAAAGACCAGGAUGCUGGUUUAUAUUUGUCUGCAGGAAUAGUGGAAAGGUAAUAAAGCCUCUGAAAUGACUGCACUUGGCAAGAGGGUCUCUUGUGUCAUUUACAGCAGGGGAGAACUCACAGAAUAAAUUCAGUGACUGGAGAAGAGGACAUCUCUAGAGAUAACUGGAAAGGAGAGGAGGAAGGGAUAAGGAGACCUCGUAACCUUUUCUGCAUCCAUUUCUGCAUUCUGAACUGUCUGGUACAAAUAGCUUCAGUGAGGAGUUUAGUCUGUUUUAGGUCGUCUCUCUUGAGUGUAAACUGUACUGAUGGGAGGGAAAACUGAGACCCACUGCUCCGAGGUUGGGAGGAAGGAGAAACUAACAAGAAACUGGAGACAAAGCUAAAGUUUGAAAGACCUGCUGCAGGUCAGUCUUCCUGGGAACAGGUGCGUUUCGGAGAAAGACUUGAUGGGAUUUUGAAAAGGGAUAGGAGAGCUGGAAGGAGUGAUUCUUCCUUGGACUGCAACAAGUGAAAGGCCAAAAGGAGCCUAGGCUAGGGAUGCUGGGAAGUCCGAAAGGUAGUUAAAAAUCAUGGUAAUUGAACAUUCAUUCUCUUGCAC